rnacentral:misc_RNA from 1 species
GGAGUCUUUUCUUAUGUGGUACCUGUCUUCAUAGCUGAAAUUGCACCCAAAAAUCUUCGUGGAGCUUUAACAACUCUAAAUCAGCUUAUGAUAUGCAGUGGAGUGUCCGUUUUCUACAUAAUAGGGACAGUACUAACAUGGCGGGCUCUGGCUUUAACCGGACUUGUCCCCUGUGCUAUUUUGCUUUUUGGCCUAUUUCUCAUUCCAGAAUCCCCCAGAUGGCUGGCAAAGAUAGGACGAGAAAAGCAGUUUGAGACUGCACUAAAGACACUUCGCGGCAAGGAUGCAGAUAUAUCUAAUGAGGCAGCUGAAAUUAAGGAUUAUAUAGAAACUCUUGAAAGGCUCCCAAAAGCCAAACUGCUGGAUUUGUUUCAAAGAAGAUACCUGCGCUCUGUUAUUAUAGGAGUUGGAUUGAUGGUCUUUCAGCAAUUUGGAGGAAUCAACGGAGUCUGCUUUUAUGUCAGCAACAUUUUUGAGUCAGCAGGAUUUUCUGCCUCUAUUGGGACCAUAACCUAUGCCAUUAUUCAGGUUGUGGUUACUGCCCUUAACACAACUGUGAUAGACAAGGGUGGAAGAAAGCCUCUCUUAUUGAUUUCUGCAUCAGGACUGGUCAUUGCCUGCAUAAUAACUGGGAUUUCAUUCUAUCUGAAGGCUAAUGAAUUGGCACUCCAGUCUGUACCUAUACUAGCUGUUACUGGCAUACUGCUAUAUAUAGGAUCAUUUUCUGC